rnacentral:lncRNA from 1 species
CAGAAGGCGCCGGAAAGUGGAAUGAGAGCUCUGCAGUCUCUGGGCUAAGUACAGCAGCUCUGUUUCUUACUGGCCUGCCUGGGGACAGUGACACUGGAGAUGCGCUUUCAUGUGAAUUCUCCAUUUUGUUCUUUCAGUCUUUGAACGAAUACAACAUCGCCCGGUUGGAAUAUUAUCGCUAUUUUACAAGAAAAAUCGCAUAAAAAUGUAUUUUAAACAGCGUUUCACAUGCUUCGAAGUACAGUAAUGGAAUAUUUUGAAUUUUUUUGUCACGAAAUGGGCCCGCGCAUCACCCUUCGGAUAGUUACCUGAACGCACGAACAAAACGCCGCUAUUUGGAUAAAACUAUGGAUUAUUUGGGACCAAACCAACAAUUGUUAUUGAAGUAGAAGUCCUGGGAGUGCAUUCUGAUGAAGAACACCAAAGUUUUCCCGGUUUUGUCCUUUCUGCCUGCCCUGACCCUGAGCCUGCCUGCCGUCUGGUACAUUUGCCCCACUACUCUGGAAUACCUACCUCUGCCUGACCCUGAGCCUGCCUGCCGUCCGGUAGCUUUGCCCCACUACUCUGGAUUACUGACCUCUGCCUGACCUGACCCUGAGCCUGACUGCCGUCCAGUACCUUUGUCUGCCCGUGUUCGUAUUAAUAAACCUUUGUUAUUUCGACAUUGUCUGCACCUGGGCAUUACCUUCAAACGUGAUAGAUUUGUAUUGGUAUGAUAUAAACAUGCUGAAUAAAUGGCUAUUAUGUUAUUUAGUAGGAAAUAACAUUCAUUUGAUGAGAAGAUUUCCUGUCCCUCUUUUGCAUGUACAUUUUGAAGGUGCUAUGCUCAUAAAACUAUAUUUCCUGUCCCUCUUAUGCAUGUCCAUGUUGAAGGUGUUAUGCUCAUGAAACUAGGACAGUUGGUUCAAAUAUCAUGAAAUACCAAUGGAUUCCGUCCGAAAUGUCAAAAUAUAGCUAUGGCACUCAAGUGUAUAGUGAAUGUAUGGUGUUGAAUUAAGUUGCUAAGGCCUUUUGACCUAUUCCUAAUUGAUAGACAAGGUGCAAUACUGGGUUAAUCCCAGCAGCCUAUAAACAUACAGAAGCUUUCUAGAUCUAUAUCAGGGGUCUCCAACCUUUUCUAGUUGAGAUCUUUAAAAAAAAUGAAACACGUUGCCAGCUAUUCAAUUUUUUCUAUCUUUCAAAAUAGGCACAUUCUCCUCUUCUCCUCUCCCCUGCAACUGUUCCCCCAUGUCCUUGGUGUGCAAGAGAAAGUAGUGCACUAUGUUUUCUGUCAAUAUAAUUGGUAAAAUAAUAGUUAAUAAACAACUCUAGGGCCUCUUGAGUGGUGCAGCGGUUCAAGGCACUGCAUCGCAGUGUUGUGGCAUCACUACAGCCUGGGGUUUAAUCCCAGCCGUGACCAGGACAACCAGCUGUGAUCGGGAGUCCCAUUGGGCAGUGCACAAUUGGCCCCGCAUCGUCCGGGUUAGGGGAGGGUUUGGCUGGGGGGGGGGGGCUUUAUUUGGCUCAUCGCGCUCUAGUGACUCCUUUGUGGCGGGCUGGGCGCCUGCAGGCUGACUCGGUUGUCAGUUGAACAGUGUUUCCUCCAACACAUUAGUACAGCUGGCUUCCGGUUUAAGCGAGCCGCUGUUAAGAAGCGCGGCUUGGCAGGUCAUGUUUCGGAGGAAGCAUGACUCGACCUUUACCUUUGCAGCGAUGAGAGAAGAUAAUAAUCACGAAAUUGGAGAGAAAAAGUGAAAUUUUAAAAUUCAGUUUUAUAUUUUCCCAAAUGAUGUUUCCUCAGUUUUAAUUUUCCUGGUUUUAGAUUUGUUUUGUUUUUUCUCCAAACAAUCAAAUUGUUCAUAGAGAAACAACGGAAUUGGAUGUUCUGAGUCCAUGUCAAUGGUUAAAUCACAUCAAAAGACAAAACAUUUUUGGGUCUGGAGAAAAAUGAACAAAUACAUUUUUUUGCGUAACUUCCCUUUAGUUGUGCAUCUAGCGAGUGAGGAAUGCCCUGUCUAAUGUUCCGGUCUAGCGAUGCUUCUGUGCUGCUGCUGCUCAUUUCAUCGCAAAGUUUGCAAAUAACAAAUAAUGAUAAACUUCUGCCAGGACCAUGCCUCAGGACUACCUGGUAUGAUGACUCCUUGCUGUCCCCAGUCCACCUGGCCGUGCUGCUGCUCCAGUUUCAACUGUUCUGCCUGCGGCUAUGGAACCCUGACCUGUUCACCGGACGUGCUUGUUGCACCCUCGACAACUACUAUGAUUAUUAUUAUUUGACCAUGCUGGUCAUUUAUGAACAUUUUAACAUUUUAACAUUUUGACCAUGUUCUGUUAUAAUAUCCACCCUGCACAGCCAGAAGAGGACUGGCCACCCCUCAUAGCCUGGUUCCUCUCUAGGUUUCUUCCUAGGUUUUUGGCCUUUCUAGGGAGUUUUUCCUAGGGAGUUUUUCCUAGCCACCGUGCUUCUUUCACAUGCUUUGCUUGCUGUUUGGGGUUUUAGGCUGAGUUUCU